rnacentral:tRNA from 1 species
UCCUUCGUGGUGUAGUGGUCAGCACGCUCGGCGCAUAACCGAGAGGUCCUGAGUUCGAUUCCCGGCGAAGGCG